UUGGGCUGAGGGAGUCAAUGAAGACUGGCUGAUUGGGAGCCAAAACGGCUUGGCCGAUGUGGGCCGACAGUGGGCCAGGAUGAUGAUUAGCCGAAGAUGAAGAUUGGCCUGUGAGAAAAUAAUAACCAACUCUGAUGCGGGUCUCGUUCGUUUCUAAAUAUUUGUUAUCUUUUAGAGAUAGAUCCUAGUCGGUUAGGAAAUCAGUUGUAACAGGGUAUAAAUAGCUGCCUCGUAAGGCUUGUAAAAAAACAACACUUCAAUCAACAAAGCAAAUCUACUUUUUCCUUGCACUUUACUGUCAAGUCGGUGACUUCGCCAACUCUUUUUCUUUUCACAAGUUCGUAUGAGUUAGCAGGGCCUAUCGAGUAAUAUCUAAUCUUUAACUUUGG
rnacentral:lncRNA from 1 species